rnacentral:rRNA from 1 species
GCGUAAAAUCAAUAACACCAAUCAACGCCAGGGUACUACGAGCUCCAGCUUAAAACCCAAAGGACUUGACGGUGUCCCACCCAACUAGAGGAGCCUGUUCUAUAAUCGAUGAUCCACGAUACACCCGACCAAUUUUUGCUCUCAGCCUGUAUACCUCCGUCGCCAGCCUACCAUAUUACUGAAAAAUAGUAGACUUAAGGACUUUAAAGCCCCAACGUCAGGUCAAGGUGCAGCUUAUAAAAUGGAAAAGGAUGAGCUACAAUUUCUAACUUAGAACAUACAAAAUGCUACAUGAAAUAUAGUUACGAAGAUGGAUUUAGUAGUAAAUGGGGAAUAGAGAGCCCCAUUAAAUUAGGCCCUGGGACGCGUACAAACCGCCCGUCACCCUCUUCAACAGCCCCCCCCAACCCAACAUAAAUAAAACAACUUAGCACCCCAGAAGAGGCAAGUCGUAACAUGGUAAGUGUACUGGAAAGUGCACUUGGAAUAU